GACAGAGGGUGCAAACGUUGUUCGGAAUUACUGGGCGUAAAGGGCGCGUAGGCGGCCCACUAAGUCAGACGUGAAAUCCCCCGGCUUAACCUGGGAACUGCGUCUGAUACUGGAGGGCUUGAGUAUGGGAGAGGGAUGUAGAAUUCCAGGUGUAGCGGUGAAAUGCGUAGAUAUCUGGAGGAAUACCGGUGGCGAAGGCGGCAUCCUGGACCAUUACUGACGCUGAGGCGCGAAAGCUAGGGGAGCAAACGGG
rnacentral:rRNA from 1 species